rnacentral:rRNA from 1 species
AAUUAUUUUAAUUUUACAUUAUUUAGGUUAUUGUACUUUUUGUAUAACGGUAAAUUGAAAAAUUUUCAGUUUAAUUUGUUCGAUAGUUUUUGAUUUAAACUUCUUUUAAUUUAAAGAUUAAAAUUUUUUAGGUAAUAAAAGAUUAAAAAGAAGUUUAGGAGUGAUAUGUAAUUCGGAAAAACUGAUAUCUAAUAAAAGAAGUAAAUAUCAGGUUAUAUAGUUUUGGUAAAGCAAAAUUAUUUUUUAUGAAUUGGAAGUUUAUAAUUAUUUGUGUUGAUUUAAUUAGUCAAAAUUAAUAAUAUAUGGUUAUAAUGUAAGAUAUUCUAUAGGUUAUUCUUUUUAUAAUUGUAUGUUUUAAUGAUUUAAUAAGUAAAUGAAAUUAAAAAAAACAAACUUGGUUUUAUUUUAACUGUUUAUUAAAAACAUUGUGUUUUGGUUAUAAUAAAACAUAGUACCUGCUCAAUGAAAUUUAAAUAGCUGCAGUAAUUUGACUGUACAAAGGUAGCGUAAUUGCUUGUCUUUUAAUUGAAGUCUGGUUUGAAAGGUUUAAUAUAAAUAAAAUUUUGUUUUUUUUAUUAUUUUGAAAUUUUAAUAAAAGUGAAGAUACUUUUUUCAAAAAAAAAGAAGAUCAGACCCUAAGAACUUAAAACAAAUCAAUAUUUAUGUUUUUUUAUGGGGCUUGAAUUUAUAAAAAAUAGAUUUAAUGGACUAUUAUGAAUAAAUAAAUGGGAAAGUUACCUUAGGGAUAACAGGAUAAUAAUUUUAAUGAGUUCAAAUUUACAAAAUUGUUUAUUACCUCGUUGUUGAAUCAUAUGUUCUUUUAUGUUGUAGGGGCAUAAAAAGAAAAUCUGUUCGAUUUUUAAACAUAUUCGUGAUUUGAGUUAAAACCGAUGUGAAUCAGGUUGGCUUCUAUCUUUUAUUAGUGUGAAAUUGUACGAAAGGAAUUUUCACACACUUUUAAAAGG